AAUAGAUACCCGGGUAGUCCACGCCGUAAACGAUGAGUGCUAAGUGUUAGAGGGUUUCCGCCCUUUAGUGCUGCAGCUAACGCAUUAAGCACUCCGCCUGGGGAGUACGGCCGCAAGGCUGAAACUCAAAGGAAUUGACGGGGGCCCGCACAAGCGGUGGAGCAUGUGGUUUAAUUCGAAGCAACGCGAAGAACCUUACCAGGUCUUGACAUCCUCUGCCAACCCUAGAGAUAGGGCGUUCCCCUUCGGGGGACAGAGUGACAGGUGGUGCAUGGUUGUCGUCAGCUCGUGUCGUGAGAUGUUGGGUUAAGUCCCGCAACGAGCGCAACCCUUGAUCUUAGUUGCCAGCAUUCAGUUGGGCACUCUAAGGUGACUGCCGGUGACAAACCGGAGGAAGGUGGGGAUGACGUCAAAUCAUCAUGCCCCUUAUGACCUGGGCUACACACGUGCUACAAUGGCGGUGACAAUGCGCAGCCACCUGGCAACAGGGAGCUAAUCGCAAAAAGCCGCCUCAGUU
rnacentral:rRNA from 1 species